rnacentral:rRNA from 1 species
UACAGAGGGUGCAAGCGUUAAUCGGAGUUACUGGGCGUAAAGGGUGCGUAGGCGGUUUGGUAAGUCUGAUGUGAAAUCUAUGGGCUCAACUCAUAGUCUGCAUCGGAAACUGCCGGGCUUGAGUAUGGGAGAGGUGAGUGGAAUUCCUGGUGUAGCGGUGAAAUGCGUAGAUAUCAGGAGGAACACCUGUGGCGAAAGCGGCUCACUGGACCAUAACUGACGCUGAUGCACGAAAGCUAGGGGAGCAAACAGG